UGUGAGAUGGCCACGCACGUGACCACGUAGAAUGGGCAUCAGCCAAUGAAACGCGGCCCCUCUGGUAAGGUUCAUGAAUCAUGUAAGGAAUUUUCAACAUGAUCGAUCUUGUCUCACACGUCACAUCCUGUAAAGGAGAUACCCCACAUAUGCAUGCCUUUUUAAAAAGACUAAGAUAUUUCUUUUGAUUUUUUUUGUCACCAGGUCUUAUGUUAAAGUAAAAUCUAAAAUAAAAGCCAACAAAGAUUUGGUGAAGGUGAUAAAUCCAACUUUCAUGAAGUAUGUCCAUGAGGUCUGGUUGAAGAAGAAAGGAUCAUAUCCAUCCACUGGCUUUAUGGCUUUGGUUCUUGCUCUUCACAUUUGUGAUGACGUCCACGUUUUUGGGUAUGGAGCGGACAGCAAUGGAAACUGGAGCCACUACUGGGAAACACUUAAAGACAAAAAGUUAAAAACUGGACUGCAUCCUGGACAACAUGAGUAUGCACUUAUCCAGCACCUGGCUAACGGACGAAAGCUAAAGCUGUACAAAGGCCUUUAACUUCUCUCAGAACUUGAAGAAAACUUGCCUUGGUCACUUGAGACCAUUUUUUUUUUUUCCUUUUUUUUUUCUCUUGAAGAGUUUUUGCGGCGCUAGUGGCUCGUAUUUUUUUGACAGUAGGCAGACAGGA